rnacentral:rRNA from 1 species
AGUGAACGCUGGCGGUAGGCCUAACACAUGCAAGUCGAACGGCAGCACAGUAAGAGCUUGCUCUUACGGGUGGCGAGUGGCGGACGGGUGAGGAAUACAUCGGAAUCUACUUUUUCGUGGGGGAUAACGUAGGGAGACUUACGCUAAUACCGCAUACGACCUACGGGUGAAAGCAGGGGAUCUUCGGACCUUGCCCGAUUGAAUGAGCCGAUGCCGGAUUAGCUAGUUGGCGGGGUAAAGGCCCACCAAGGCAACGAUCCGUAGCUGGUCUGAGAGGAUGAUCAGCCACACUGGAACUGAGACACGGUCCAGACUCCUACGGGAGGCAGCAGUGGGGAAUAUUGGACAAUGGGCGCAAGCCUGAUCCAGCCAUACCGCGUGGGUGAAGAAGGCCUUCGGGUUGUAAAGCCCUUUUGUUGGGAAAGAAAAGCAGCAGGUUAAUACCCCGCUGUUCUGACGGUACCCAAAGAAUAAGCACCGGCUAACUUCGUG